CAAUUUCUGCCGCAGGAAUUUUAUUGCUCUGAAGCCUGAUGUUUCUGCUUGACUGAUCAUGCCAUUUUGGAACCUGAACUCUUCAUUAAAAGCCGAGUUGGCUUGAGAACACUCAAAUCAUGACAAUCAAAGGUUGUCAAGGUUCCGCACUCCUGCGUUAAUAAAUACAGAUCUCUUCUGUUCCAGUAAUAUACACAGACAUUUUCUGGACCCAAAACUGCCACAUUUUAUCUUUUCGCCAAAGCCAAAAGUCUGUUUUCUAUUCUGCUAUGUUUGACAAGAUCCAGACACGGAUAUUUCUCCAGCACAAACUGAGUCUCACAUCCAACCAACGUGCUUAUGGGAGCUAUACCUGCAUCAUUUUCUCGAAAAGGGUGA